rnacentral:lncRNA from 12 species
AUGGAACCAGCUGUUUUUCUGACUUCUAUUGAAUUUUUAGGAAUCUCAAAAUCAAGCAAAUUUGAUCCACCAACUGGACCCUCUUUGGAAGACAAUACUCUGAUAUGUGAGGCUAAAGGUGAAUCCUUUGAAUCAAAAUACUUCGGCUAUUCCUUCUUGAGUCGUCUGUUUUCUGCAGGAAUCUCAAAAUCAAGCAAAUUUGAUCCACCACCUGGCCACUCUUUGGAAGACAAUACUCUGGUCCCUGAGCCUAAAGGUGAAUCCUCUGAAUCAGAAUACUUCUCCUGCUAUUCCUCCUUGAGUCAUCUGUCUUCUGCAGGAAUCUCAAAAUCAAGCAAAUUUGAUCCACCACCUGGCCCCUCUUUGGAAGACAAUACUCUGGUCCCUGUGGCAAACGGUGAAUCCUCUGAAUCAGAAUACUUCUCCUGCUAUUCCUCCUUGAGUCAUCUGUCUUCUGCAGAAAUCUUAAAGAAGCAAAAGGAUACUCCACAGCCUGGUGAGAGUACCUCACAGGAAGAACACAGUGCCGUUGUCUCAAGUGACCUCCCCUGUGCCUCUGACAAUAAGAAUACGGAAGUCUUAAACACAGAUGAAGACAUUCUACUUUCUGGACCCUCUGGGUUGGCCCAAGGCCACAGCCAGAGGGCAGAAGUUUCAGACUCAGAAUAUAUUUCCCGUAUCUCUCCUGCAGACAAGCUCUUUGACAGAGAAUUCUGGAAGAACCAAGAGAAUGUGCCUCAGCCUGAGUCAUAUGUGGUCUCUCCUGGCAGUGAGAUUGCAGGAGAAAAGGCUUCUUCCUCAGAAUACGUCUGCAUCUCCCCUUCUGGUAAGUUUAUCCUCGCUAAAGAGGACGGUAAGGGAAAUACACAGGUCGCGUCUGAGCAGAGAUAGCAGGUACAACUGAGCUGCUCAGCCCAAGCCUGACUUAUCUUAUUCUCCCCUUGAGAGCAGAAGAGGGCUUCAGGGCAGAGGGACUAGGACUGAAGCCCCUGCAGAGGAACAGAAAGGGAGUGUAGCUUCAGGGGGAGGACCCAGUCACCGUUGUAGCUUCAGGUCAAGUAGAGCCCCGCAGUGGUGUGGACAUUUCAUCACACCCUUCCCCCUCAGAGGUGCAUGAACUCAACCUCACCCACACUCCUGCAUCUGUAUUCCUUCCUACCAGUUCUGGUCCCAUUUCUCCUUCCUUUUCUCCUUGCCUUCCUUCCUCAUUCACUUUCCCAGUCUCUGGCAUGGCAUAGCUACACCCUUGUCCCUUCAUUCCCUCACACAGUCAGACUCAUCCACUCACACACUAAUACCAUAAGUCCUUUACAACCCCUUGUACAGAUCACCUGUUUUAACUCCCUCACACUAAGCCAAACUGCAGAAAAUGGAUAUACCCUGAGGAGGAUGGACUUUCAUGUACAGCCUUUCUCAUCCACAUGCCACUUCACUCAUGAAGACUCGGGCACUUCACAGAGCGGCAUAUUUCAGGAGCUCAGGUCACUUCUGCUGGCAUUCUAAGCUACAGUGUCAACAGGAAACAGCAUUAUUCCCGCACUUGUUCACAUGCUCUGUCACACUAUGUAACACACAUGCACACACUCAUUCGCUGUCACCUCUGACUAACAUCAGAAACAGUCACCAGGGUACCUGCAUGGCUCAGUCAUUUGAGCAUCCGACUCUUGGUUUCAGCUCGGGUCAUGAUCUCAAAGUAGUGAGAUCCAGCCCCAUGUCACACUCCACGCUCAGCAAGGAGUCUGCUUGUCCCUUUCCCUCUGCUUCUUCACUUUCUGUCUCUCUCUGUAUCUCUCUCACAAAUAAAUAAAUAAAAUCUUAAAGGAAGCGUUCA